rnacentral:lncRNA from 1 species
UUGGGACGUGCUGUUGCACUUCAGUUGCCUAUGCAGGGGUUUCUUGUGAGUGUCCUGUUCCUCUUUUUCUUGAACAAAUGUAAUGCAAUUCUUGAUGUCUGGCAGGCAGCACCAAAGUUUUGUAGGCAACGUCCAUACGUGAAUUAUAUGAAGCCAUUUAGUUCAAUUAGAGAACAAAGUUUCAACUAUUUUAUUUAUCAUGAGACCCCUCUUGAUCACUUCUUCCAAAGUCCCUCUUGGCUUCCCUUCCCUUCUUUCCACAGGAUAUAAACCAUAUAAAUACUCCUCUCCCUCUCCCGGAGCCUGCUCCAACCAAACUACCUUAAAU